rnacentral:rRNA from 1 species
GAUGAACGCUGGCGGCGUGCCUAAUACAUGCAAGUCGAGCGAACAGACGAGGAGCUUGCUCCUCUGACGUUAGCGGCGGACGGGUGAGUAACACGUGGAUAACCAACUUAUAAGACGGGGAUAAUUACGGGAAACCGGAGCUAAUAACGGAUAAUAUAUUGAGCGGCAUGGUUCAAUAGUGAAAGACGGUUUUGCUGUCACUUUUAGAUGAAUCCGCGCCGCAUUAGCUAGUUGGUAAGGUAACGGCUUACCAAGGCGACGAUGCGUAGCCGACCUGAGAGGGUGAUCGGCCACACUGGAACUGAGACACGGUCCAGACUCCUACGGGAGGCAGCAGUAGGGAAUCUUCCGCAAAGGGCGAAAGCCUGACGGAGCAACGCCGCGUGAGUGAUGAAGGUCUUCGGAUCGUAAAACUCUGUUAUUAGGGAAGAACAAAUGUGAAAGUAACUAUGCACGUCUUGACGGUACCUAAUCAGAAAGCCACGGCUAACUACGUG